GCCAUUUAAAGUGGUACGCGAGCUGGGUUUAGAACGUCGUGAGACAGUUCGGUCCCUAUCUGCCGUGGGCGCUGGAGAAUUGAGGGGGGCUGCUCCUAGUACGAGAGGACCGGAGUGGACGCAUCACUGGUGUUCGGGUUGUCAUGCCAAUGGCACUGCCCGGUAGCUAAAUGCGGAAGAGAUAAGUGCUGAAAGCAUCUAAGCACGAAACUUGCCCCGAGAUGAGUUCUCCCUGAGACUUUAAGUCUCCUGAAGGAACGUUGAAGACGACGACGUUGAUAGGCCGGGUGUGUAAGCGCAGCGAUGCGUUGAGCUAACCGGUACUAAUGAACCGUGAGGCUUAACCUUACAACGCCGAAG
rnacentral:rRNA from 1 species